rnacentral:rRNA from 1 species
UACGGGGGGGGGCAAGCGUUUGUUCGGAAUUACUGGGCGUAAAGCGUGCGCAGGCGGUUUUGUAAGUCUGUCGUGAAAGCCCCGGGCUCAACCUGGGAAUUGCGAUGGAGACUGCAAGGCUUGAAUCUGGCAGAGGGGGGUAGAAUUCCACGUGUAGCAGUGAAAUGCGUAGAGAUGUGGAGGAACACCGAUGGCGAAGGCAGCCCCCUGGGUCAAGAUUGACGCUCAUGCACGAAAGCGUGGGGAGCAAACAGG